rnacentral:rRNA from 1 species
UCAAGUGAAGAAGCGCAUACGGUGGAUGCCUUGGCAGUCAGAGGCGAUGAAAGACGUGGUAGCCUGCGAAAAGCUUCGGGGAGUCGGCAAACAGACUUUGAUCCGGAGAUGUCUGAAUGGGGGAACCCAGCCAUCAUAAGAUGGUUAUCUUGUACUGAAUACAUAGGUGCAAGAGGCGAACCAGGGGAACUGAAACAUCUAAGUACCCUGAGGAAAAGAAAUCAACCGAGAUUCCCUUAGUAGUGGCGAGCGAACGGGGACUAGCCCUUAAGUGGCUUUGAGAUUAGCGGAACGCUCUGGAAAGUGCGGCCAUAGUGGGUGAUAGCCCUGUACGCGAAAAUCUCUUGGUCAUGAAAUCGAGUAGGACGGAGCACGAGAAACUUUGUCUGAAUAUGGGGGGACCAUCCUCCAAGGCUAAAUACUACUGACUGACCGAUAGUGAACUAGUACCGUGAGGGAAAGGCGAAAAGAACCCCGGAGAGGGGAGUGAAAUAGAUCCUGAAACCGUAUGCGUACAAGCAGUGGGAGCAGACUUUGUUCUGUGACUGCGUACCUUUUGUAUAAUGGGUCAGCGACUUAUUUUCAGUGGCGAGCUUAACCGAAUAGGGGAGGCGUAGCGAAAGCGAGUCUUAAUAGGGCGUCUAGUCGCUGGGAAUAGACCCGAAACCGGGCGAUCUAUCCAUGGGCAGGUUGAAGGUUGGGUAACACUAACUGGAGGACCGAACCGACUACCGUUGAAAAGUUAGCGGAUGACCUGUGGAUCGGAGUGAAAGGCUAAUCAAGCUCGGAGAUAGCUGGUUCUCCUCGAAAGCUAUUUAGGUAGCGCCUCAUGUAUCACUGUAGGGGGUAGAGCACUGUUUCGGCUAGGGGGUCAUCCCGACUUACCAAACCGAUGCAAACUCCGAAUACCUACAAGUGCCGAGCAUGGGAGACACACGGCGGGUGCUAACGUCCGUCGUGAAAAGGGAAACAACCCAGACCGUCAGCUAAGGUCCCAAAGUUAUGGUUAAGUGGGAAACGAUGUGGGAAGGCUUAGACAGCUAGGAGGUUGGCUUAGAAGCAGCCACCCUUUAAAGAAAGCGUAAUAGCUCACUAGUCGAGUCGGCCUGCGCGGAAGAUGUAACGGGGCUCAAACCAUACACCGAAGCUACGGGUAUCAUCUUAGGAUGAUGCGGUAGAGGAGCGUUCUGUAAGCCUGUGAAGGUGAGUUGAGAAGCUUGCUGGAGGUAUCAGAAGUGCGAAUGCUGACAUGAGUAACGACAAUGGGUGUGAAAAACACCCACGCCGAAAGACCAAGGUUUCCUGCGCAACGUUAAUCGACGCAGGGUUAGUCGGUCCCUAAGGCGAGGCUGAAAAGCGUAGUCGAUGGAAAACAGGUUAAUAUUCCUGUACUUCUGGUUAUUGCGAUGGAGGGACGGAGAAGGCUAGGCCAGCUUGGCGUUGGUUGUCCAAGUUUAAGGUGGUAGGCUGAGAUCUUAGGUAAAUCCGGGAUCUUAAGGCCGAGAGCUGAUGACGAGUUGUCUUUUAGAUGACGAAGUGGUUGAUGCCAUGCUUCCAAGAAAAGCUUCUAAGCUUCAGGUAACCAGGAACCGUACCCCAAACCGACACAGGUGGUUGGGUAGAGAAUACCAAGGCGCUUGAGAGAACUCGGGUGAAGGAACUAGGCAAAAUGGCACCGUAACUUCGGGAGAAGGUGCGCCGGUGAGGGUGAAGGACUUGCUCCGUAAGCUCAUGCCGGUCGAAGAUACCAGGCCGCUGCGACUGUUUAUUAAAAACACAGCACUCUGCAAACACGAAAGUGGACGUAUAGGGUGUGACGCCUGCCCGGUGCCGGAAGGUUAAUUGAUGGGGUUAGCUAACGCGAAGCUCUUGAUCGAAGCCCCGGUAAACGGCGGCCGUAACUAUAACGGUCCUAAGGUAGCGAAAUUCCUUGUCGGGUAAGUUCCGACCUGCACGAAUGGCGUAACGAUGGCGGCGCUGUCUCCACCCGAGACUCAGUGAAAUUGAAAUCGCUGUGAAGAUGCAGUGUAUCCGCGGCUAGACGGAAAGACCCCGUGAACCUUUACUAUAGCUUUGCACUGGACUUUGAAUUUGCUUGUGUAGGAUAGGUGGGAGGCUUUGAAGCGUGGACGCCAGUUCGCGUGGAGCCAUCCUUGAAAUACCACCCUGGCAACUUUGAGGUUCUAACUCAGGUCCGUUAUCCGGAUCGAGGACAGUGUAUGGUGGGUAGUUUGACUGGGGCGGUCUCCUCCUAAAGAGUAACGGAGGAGUACGAAGGUGCGCUCAGACCGGUCGGAAAUCGGUCGUAGAGUAUAAAGGCAAAAGCGCGCUUGACUGCGAGACAGACACGUCGAGCAGGUACGAAAGUAGGUCUUAGUGAUCCGGUGGUUCUGUAUGGAAGGGCCAUCGCUCAACGGAUAAAAGGUACUCCGGGGAUAACAGGCUGAUACCGCCCAAGAGUUCAUAUCGACGGCGGUGUUUGGCACCUCGAUGUCGGCUCAUCACAUCCUGGGGCUGAAGCCGGUCCCAAGGGUAUGGCUGUUCGCCAUUUAAAGUGGUACGCGAGCUGGGUUUAGAACGUCGUGAGACAGUUCGGUCCCUAUCUGCCGUGGACGUUUGAGAUUUGAGAGGGGCUGCUCCUAGUACGAGAGGACCGGAGUGGACGAACCUCUGGUGUUCCGGUUGUCACGCCAGUGGCAUUGCCGGGUAGCUAUGUUCGGGAAAGAUAACCGCUGAAAGCAUCUAAGCGGGAAACUUGCCUCAAGAUGAGAUCUCACUGGAACCUUGAGUUCCCUGAAGGGCCGUCGAAGACUACGACGUUGAUAGGUUGGGUGUGUAAGCGCUGUGAGGCGUUGAGCUAACCAAUACUAAUUGCCCGUGAGGCUUGACCA